UGCGGAGGGUGCGAGCGUUAAUCGGAAUCACUGGGCGUAAAGCGCGCGUAGGCGGCUUUUCAAGUCAGGGGUGAAAUCCCACGGCCCAACCGUGGAACUGCCUUUGAAACUGUAGAGCUUGAGUGUCGGAGAGGGUGGCGGAAUUCCAGGUGUAGGAGUGAAAUCCGUAGAUAUCUGGAGGAACACCGGUGGCGAAGGCGGCCACCUGGACGACAACUGACGCUGAGGUGCGAAAGCGUGGGUAGCAAACAGG
rnacentral:rRNA from 1 species